AACCAAUCAUUGUUAACAGGAGUAGUCCCAGAAGAUUGGAAGUUAGCGAAUGUUGUGCCCAUUUACAAGAAAGGUAAUAGGGAGGAGUCGGGCAACUAUAGGCCAGUAAGCCUUACUUCAGUAGUGGGGAAAGUGAUGGAAACCAUGUUAAAGGAUAGGAUUGAUGAACAUCUAAAAAUCACAUGGAUUUCAAGAUCAGAGACAACAUGGGUUUACUUCAGGGAGAUCAUGCCAAACUAAUCUUAUUGAUUUUUUUGAUUGGGUAACUAAAAUUAUAGAUCAGGGUGGUGCAGUAGACAUUGCUUACCUAGAUUUCAGUAAGGCUUUUGACACUGUUGCACAUAGAAGGCUUAUC